rnacentral:misc_RNA from 1 species
GAUGAAGAACGUAGCGAAAUGCGAUAAGUAAUGUGAAUUGCAGAAUUCAGUGAAUCAUCGAAUCUUUGAACGCACAUUGCGCCCGCCAGUAUUCUGGCGGGCAUGCCUGUUCGAGCGACAUUUCAACCCUCAAGACCCCUUCGGGGGACUUGGUGUUGGGGACCGGCAUAGGGGCCUUGCGCCCCUCGCCGCCCCCGAAAUGAAUUGGCGGCCUCGUCGCGGCCUCCCCUGCGUAGUAGCACAACCUCGCAACGGGAACGUGACGGCGGCCACUGCCGUAAAACAACCCAAUUUUAUUAGAGUUGACCUCGAAUCAGGUAGGAAUACCCGCUGAACUUAAGCAUAUCAAUAAGCGGAGGA